AUUUCUGUUCUUAUACACGCUUUGAAGCUUCAUCUGCACUUAGGAGGGGCUCUGAUAAUGUGUCGAGACCAAACAGAACACCAGUUACUGAGCCAGACUUAAGAACAACAAAAGGCAUUUGGGUCCCAACAACCAACAUAGCCACAGGAGAAAGCAAUAAACUAUUUGCAAAUAUUCUUUAUGCAGAAAAUGUCACAAUGUUUGCAGCCUUUAAAAGCUCCUGUAACUAUUUUCACAUGUCAGCCAGAUGACAGAGUCUUUCCUAUGCCAAGAAUUUGACUGAGUUUAAAACAAAAACAAAACAGAACUGUCUCCAAAUUACCACAGCAUGUGCACAAAAAUCAAUACAAGUUCACAUUCAGCUGCUCAAAGGUAGGCAGAAGCAGAAUAUACACAACUCAGAUUCACAAAACGACGAACUAAAACUUUCACAAUGGGUCUUUCUUUUGAUGUGUGUGAACGCUGUAUGCACGUGUGGAAGCUGAAGACAAUCUCAGGUGUCACCUCCUUUGAAAUGAGUCUCUCUUUGUCCUGAAGCGCAGUUAGGCUACAGUUGUGAUCAGAAACCCUCCAAUCUCCAACCUCCAGCACUGUGACUUUGUGCCUAUCACCACACCCAGUAUAUGGGUUCUAGGAAUCAAACUCAAAUCCUCAACUACUUUAGCAACUGAGCCCAGCCCCUAACUCAUUUUUUAAAACUAAUCAGAUUGCCAGGUCUGAUGGCACAGGCCUGUUAUUUUAGUACCAGGGAGGCUGAGGCAAGAGAAUGCAGAGUCCGAAACCAACCUGAGUUACAAAGCUCUGUUUCAAAGGGAAAACAAACAAACAAACAAAGAAAAAAAAAGACAUCAGAUAGGCUUAGCUUUGUUACUUUUACUUAAUGCAUUAUAGCUGUCCUUACUUUAGGUAUAGGAACUUGAAAAUCAAAUACCUUGUUACCAGCCGGGUACAGCAUCACAUGCCUUUAAUCCCAGCACUCAGGAGAAAGAGGUAGGCAGAUCUCUGAGUUUGAGGCCAGCCUGGUCUACAAAGUGAGUUCUAAGACAGCUAAGGGCUAUUACACAGAGAAACACUGCCUCCAAAUAAACAAGAAACAACUAAACAUUCCUCUCUACAGAAGCCAGUCUGUAAAAAUGAGUGAGCUGGGCUUGGAUGUAAGUCCUGAACACUGCUACAGUUUAAAACACAAAAACAAAGCAAAACUCUUGAUUCUUUCUCCAAUCUGUUUUUCUGACAGUUCCAUGCAGGUCUAUAGAACUGUUUAGUCAUGUUGACUUUCGUUUUUGUCUUUAGAGGCAGAUCUUACUAUGUUACCUUGGCUUGCCUAUUACUUGCUGUGUAGGCCAGGCUGGCCUGGAAUUUAAAAAGACCCACCUGCUCCUACCUUUACAGGGCUGAAAUUAAUAAAGGCUUAUGCCACCAUGCUCAGUGCAUUUAGAUCUUUUCUUUAAAAAAAGAAAGAUCUUUUGUUUUGUUUUGUUUUUUUAAAAACAGAGUGUCAUGUAGCCUAGGCUGAAUGCUUGAGCCUCCUGUCUCUGACUCCCAAGAGUUAAGGAUUGAAAGCACGUACAUCACACCAGGUUUACUCAGUAUUAGAAAUCAAACCCAAGGCUUGCUGCACACGAGGCAAGUACGCUCAAGGUGAACUAUAGCCCUAGCACUGUGAUCUCAAUUUUUAAACACGGAGUGGGGGUGAAAGGACUACAACCAUUUAAAAAUACUCCAUGAGUUACACAACCCUUGCAGGCUGAUCUUCUCCAAAGGAGGCAUUAGCUGUUCAUCUGGGAUCGCUCUGUUGUUACUGAUAGGAGGCCACUGCUCAGCCCUUAUUUAUAGACAGCAAACCAUCCUGCCUAAAACCAGGACUGAAGUGAAGAGCAGAGCAGCAGAUCUGCAAACAACAGUCACACACAGUCAAAGGGUCAAAGUUAACACUGAAAAGAAAAUUAUACGAAUUCUAGGUUUAUAAAUAUAAAAAUUAAAAAAUAAACCCCAAAAGGCCACAGACCCAGGGCUAAGCCCUGCAGCCAAGACUAGCAGGCCAUAAAGAUAAAGGAGCACAGGAAACACUGUUCAGGCAGGACUGACAAGCCAUAAAAAAAAGGAAUGCAGGAACCAGCCUGAGUUAAUGGGACUGAUUCAUGGGACGUCUGGCAGGAAGACAUCCCCCCCCAGCUCACUCAGGGCCAUCCUCCAGACCCUGAUAAGCCCCUACUUGUGCUUUUCAGCCAUUGUGUCCUACAGAGAGCAUUCCAAGAAACCGGACAGCCCAAGCCUAACCAGAGGUGUUUCAAAUACAAAUGCUCCAUCAGUUUUGACAAACGUUUAAAAAUAAUGAGGACCUGAAGACCCUACCCUUCUCCUGAUUUAGUAGCUCUGUUCCAGGAACCAGGGGGCCAUAAAACCUUCUGGCGUCCCCUUAUCUCCUGGAGCCAUAAAACAAUCCUGUAACUUGUGGUGCAUUCCCCUUUGACAUCCCCCAUCCCCUGGUGCUCACAGCCUCUGCCUUUAAAUACUUUUUUUCCCAGCCUCUCGGGGUCGACACCUCUGUCUCCUGCGUGGGAUAUGUGUCGGCCCGGAGAUCUCUGUAAUAGGUCUCCGUAAUAAACCUCGCCUUUGCUUAUUACAUCCAAAAUGGUCUCUCUGUGUCUGGGGUCCGCGAUUUCCCAAGACUUGAGUAAGGGUCUCUCUGCGUGGGAUCUUUCAUAUUUAUGGGGGCUCGUCCGGGAUCUGCGCGACUACCCCAGACUCCGAAGACCCCUUGGAGGCUAAAAGACCUACAGGUGAUACAGAAAGAAAUCUGCUCACAGCUGACAGCAGCCUAUGCCCCGGAGACCCCUGAGACAUCCCAUCAGUUCCAGGUCGGAAGCAGCUACACUGAGCCCAGACACUCGAGCCUCGCUGGAAAGGACCGUACCUGGUGCUGCUGACCACCCUGACAGCCGUCAAUUCUCAGCCCUCACCAGCCGUGUACUAGCUGUUAGGGCUGAGAGCUGGGACCUAGAGGGAAAUUCAGUCAUGUUUGUCCUGGGUUCUAUCAAGAUAGGUGUGGGAUAGGCUUGAUUUCUAUUACAAAUGAUGUAACAUUACAUAUGUUAAUACUCCUAACACUUCUUGGGACUGUGCCUCAGGGAUCACAACCUAUAUAAGUUUAGAAGUUCUGAAAGACAGUCAUGACCUUGGUAUAUAGGUUUAGAUAGUGUCCAGAUAAAAUCCUGAUGCUAAAGACUUUUUAGCUGACCUCCAAGAAUACCUAACCUCCCUCUCAGAGGUAGUCCUUCAAAAUAAGAAAAGAUUAGACCUGAUAUUCCUUAAAGAAGGAGUCUGUGUGCUACACUGAAAGAAUGUUGCUUCUAUACAGACCAUUCAGGAGUAAUUAAAGACUCCAUAAAUAAACUUAGAGAAAGGUUAGACAAAAGACAGACAGAAAAACACAUCAGAGAUGGUUCGAGAGCUAGUUUAGUAGAUCUCCCUAGAUGACUACCCUACUCUCUGCUACAGCUGGGCCAUUAUUAAUAAUUUUCUUGGUUUUAGUUUUUGGCUCCUGCGUGACAAACAGGUUAAUUGCUUUUGUUAAAAAUUGAGUGGGUGCUAUGCGGUUGAUGGUUGUGAGACAACAGUACCAGUCAGUUAGGACAACUGGUGAGACCAAAUAAGACUUGAUAUCAAAAUUCUAAGAUUAGAAUUAUUUAAUAGGAGAAGACGGGAAUGAAAAGAAAAUUAUACGAAUUCUAGGUUUAUAAAUAUAAAAAUUAAAAAAUAAACCCCAAAAGGCCACAGACCCAGGGCUAAGCCCUGCAGCCAAGACUAGCAGGCCAUAAAGAUAAAGGAGCACAGGAAACACUGUUCAGGCAGGACUGACAAGCCAUAAAAAAAAGGAAUGCAGGAACCAGCCUGAGUUAAUGGGACUGAUUCAUGGGACGUCUGGCAGGAAGACAUCCCCCCCCAGCUCACUCAGGGCCAUCCUCCAGACCCUGAUAAGCCCCUACUUGUGCUUUUCAGCCAUUGUGUCCUACAGAGAGCAUUCCAAGAAACCGGACAGCCCAAGCCUAACCAGAGGUGUUUCAAAUACAAAUGCUCCAUCAGUUUUGACAAACGUUUAAAAAUAAUGAGGACCUGAAGACCCUACCCUUCUCCUGAUUUAGUAGCUCUGUUCCAGGAACCAGGGGGCCAUAAAACCUUCUGGCGUCCCCUUAUCUCCUGGAGCCAUAAAACAAUCCUGUAACUUGUGGUGCAUUCCCCUUUGACAUCCCCCAUCCCCUGGUGCUCACAGCCUCUGCCUUUAAAUACUUUUUUUCCCAGCCUCUCGGGGUCGACACCUCUGUCUCCUGCGUGGGAUAUGUGUCGGCCCGGAGAUCUCUGUAAUAGGUCUCCGUAAUAAACCUCGCCUUUGCUUAUUACAUCCAAAA